rnacentral:misc_RNA from 1 species
GUAGGUGAACCUGCGGAAGGAUCAUUACAAAAGGGGAGUGGGGGGAUGAGUUGAAAUGGGUGUGGGGAGAGAGGGAGUGGGAGUGAGAGAGGGAGGGAGAGAGGGAGAGAGGGAGGAGAGGGAGAGAGAGGGAGAGAGGAGAGAGAGGUUGUCAUUGACAUUUUCACUCUUUUUUCUUCUUUCUUUCCUCUUUUCUCUUUCCCCUCUCACUCCCUCCCUCCCUCUCUCUUUAGCAACAUUGGGCCAAUUAUAUAUCUCUCUAUACAACUUAUAACAAUGGAUCUCUGGGCUCUU